rnacentral:rRNA from 1 species
GACGAACGCUGGCGGCGUGCUUAACACAUGCAAGUCGAACGGACAGGCCCUGCUUUUGUGGGGUGCUCGAGUGGCGAACGGGUGAGUAACACGUGAGUAACCUGCCCUUGUAUUUGGGAUAACUUCAGGAAACUGGGGCUAAUAUCGGAUAGGAGCUCCUGCUGCAUGGUGGGGGUUGGAAAGUUUCGGCGGUUGGGGCUGGACUCGCGGCUUAUCAGCUUGUUGGUGGGGUUGUGGCUUACCAAGGCUUUGACGGGUAGCCCGCCUGAGAGGGUGACCGGCCACAUGAGGACUGAGAUACGGCCCAGACUCCUACGUGAGGCAACAGUGGGGAAUAUUGCACAAUGGGCGGAAGCCUGAUGCAGCAACGCCGCGUGCGGGAUGACGGCCUUCGAGUUGUAAACCGCUUUCUCCUGUGACGAAGCGUUAGUGACGGUAAUGGGUAAAGAAGCACCGGCUAACUACGUG